rnacentral:snoRNA from 1 species
AAGCUUGAAGAUGAUGAGCUGAUCUCGUACAUGCUGGGAGGACUCAACCCUAAGUAUGAGUCCCUGGUGACCAACAUCACUACACGGACUGACGUCAUGAUGAUCAGUGAUGUGUAUGCCCAUAUGCUCAGUGCUGAAC